rnacentral:lncRNA from 1 species
GGAAUAGGAGACUUCUUCCGAACAAACAUUUUGACACUUUAGUGGAGGAAUGUGAAGAUGGUGCCACGAGUUUCUCCACAGGUCGACGCGCAGGCGCAGUGUUGGCCAACACUGCGCCUCUCCAUCGCAUUUCAGUGUCAGGCUUUAAACCUUGUAAAAAAACUGCAACUCCUAUUAACCGUCCAAAAAAUGUCGCAAACAAGCAAUGCAAGCGAUAAAGCUUCUCCAAUACUUCAGUCUUUUGGACCUGGAGACACUCCAGAAAGUGUCACAUCUUUUGUCAUGGAAACAAGCUCAGCGUCUAACUCAGAGGAGCAUGGCGACAGCAGAUCCUCCUCUACCUCGACAAACUUAAGCUGUUAUCCCUCCCCAGAGAUUUUAAGAAGAGAAGGUAGUGGUUUUAAAUCUACCCAGAAAUAUUUGUGUUUCUUCUGGACAGUUUGUCAUAUUUUUCAUGGCUUGUUUCUGCAGUGGAAACACAGACUUUCCUUAUUGGAGAGGAGAUGCUUGGGAUUAUCUGUAAUGUUAAAAACUCUACCCUGCUGGAUGACAGCCAUUCGAAGAGCAUCCACACGUAUCAUCCACCCAACAUGUCCACUAUUAUAGGUGAAAACUUGGGUUGAAAUGACAACCUGAAAUUUUUUUCAACUUGAAUUCAAUAAUUAGAAUAGUUUUUGUGUUUAGAUGUAUCCACACACGUUGCUGAAAAGAACAAUGAGAGCAGGUGAGUGGAUAUAUUAAUACUGCUUUAAAAAAAUAACAAAAUGAUUUUAAAUGUUGUUUCAGUGCUGACAUCUCUGGAAAGAAAGCUGUUGUGCAAUUAAUUUUUAAUCAACCAGUCUUUCCCCCCCCCCCCACAAAGCUACCAGAAGGAAACUCUCACUGAAAGUAAGAUACAAAUUGAUUCAUUUCAUUUAGGAAAUAUUAUUUUUAAGCUACACGAUUUAUAAGUUUCUCUGUUUUUAUAUUAUUAAAUCCAUUUUUAUAACCAAAUUAUACCUAUGUUUCUUUGUAAUCUGCAUCUACAGAUAAAUCUCCAGAGAUGAAACUUGCACAAGAUGUAAGAAAAAUAUGUCUUUCUACAUCAUUUUAAAUGUUUUUCGUUAAUCAACUGUGUUUAUUUCAGUAGCAGUUUACUAAUUGUGUUUUUGCCCUAGUUUGUUGGGAGAAGGCCCAUAGUGUGCAGAAAAAAGGUUUCAUUCAAAAGCCCGGUCAUUUCUGAGCCUCUGAAAGAGAAACGUGCUCCAUCGCCGUCAGGCAUAAAUGACACCAUCCGGAAACUAUCCCGAGUUUCUGAGCGGACGAAACCAGAUGCACAGAUGCCCAAAAUGGAUGAAAUCAGCUCUAAAAAAGAAAUACCGGUGACCCCAAAAAGGCCUGUCGAGACUGAGAAAACCAUGUUCUUUGACUUUACCAGCAACACUGACAUGGAUGCUCUCUUUCAGAACAUGAGAGAUAGAAGUGCAAAACUUAGGUGCUCAUUUUAUUUUCCUUUUACUGUAGGCACUCAAAGCCCUCUGGGUAAUAAUAGCAAAUCUGAGUUAACCUGAAGUUAACUCUGAUACUACAGUGUACAGUUGCACAACGUAGUUUUUGCCUAAAUGACAAUAUAAAAACAUGAUUGGAACGAACAUGCUCUCUGUGAGAAAUGACUCUGACUUUAGAAGACAUAGAUAAAUUAAUAACACAAAUACAAUGGCAAAAAAGAGAACUAGCUCAUAAAUUAGUUUGAUACAACACAUGAAUGCCUUCAAAACAGUAAAUGAUUGUAUUUUCUUCUUCAGUAUAGGACAUCAAGAAAAUAAACAUACUAAUAAGAGUUUUUAAACCUUAUAAAACUAUACAAGAUGUGGGUAUAUUUUAAUAUGUAAUGUCUGUUUCUAUAGCUCUGUUUCUUCUGUAACCUCUUUUAAUGUAUCUGCAUAUUCUAUAAAGAAAAAACAAUGUUAGAGCCUGUAUAUUUAAUUCUUGUAAUUCAAAUGUGUUGUGAAUGUUGAACACUAGGUGGCGCAUCUGUAUCAGUUUUCUUGUCCUCUUUAAAAAAUAAAAAUAAGAUAUAACACGUGUUAAACGUAUGCCAACGUUUUUAUUUUAAUAUUCACAAUUCUAUA